CCACUCAUGAGAAACCUCCUUGAUCUUCUUCUUUUUCUUCUCCUUUUCUUCCUUCUCUUCGUCAACAUCCUCAACCUUGCCCUCCUCAGCAUCCUUCUUCUCUUCCUCAUCUUCAUCAUCAGAAAUUUCCUUUUCAGUGGUCUUCUCAGUCCACAGAGAGAUAGGGUAGCUGAUGAACUCAGAGUGCUUCUUGAUCAGGUCCUUGAGGCGGCGCUCUUCAAGGUACUCCAGCUGCACGAAAUAUUCAAGUAAUUGUCAAUAACAAAAUGAUAACAUUUGGGCCAGGACACUAUGCACACUUCAUAGUUCAAUUAAAGCUCUACCUAAAUAAUUCAGGUGAUUCCACAAAAGUUCACAGCACAGGUAUAGUACUUGCUACUAAUUCUAAUUCAUAAACAUGCACGCAAUUGAACUCAGAUGCAAACCAUCAUUCAAUCCACUAGAAGAGUACAACACAGAUCAUUCAGUCUACAAGGAGUUCAACAAUAAGCCAGUAAGCCACUUAAUAGAACGAGUGCAUCACAUGAGUUUGGUUCUAAUUAUUUUUAACAUGCAUAAUGCAGAACAGCAAUGAAUUUGUUUUCACAUCAAUAAUUCAUAAUAGAAGUUAAGGCAUCUCAAUAGGUUAUCACAAUGUUAGCAGUGUAUAAAAUCCAAAGUGAACACAUAUACAUGAAUAAAAAUGUUCAUUCCAAUUUACUAAUUCUGAUCAAUCAAUUCAAUAAUGCUCCUGUAAGGACAAUUUAAAGUCAUAAACAGACAAGUUAAGCAUCUAGGUCAAGCAAACCUAUGGUGAGACUUGUGACACGCCAUCAUGUUCUACUUCACAAAUGACUAAGAAACAAGUAUCAACAAUAAUACAUAUAAGCAGAUAUUACUAGGUGAUAUAUCAAUGACUAGGCACACUUAAGAACUAUGAAUGCAUCCAACAAGGCAAGCAGCACCAAUUAAAAAGAAUUUGAUGAAUUCCUGUCAGUACCUGGUCAUCCUUGAGAUAGAGGGUGAUCUUAGUACCCCUUCCAAGCUGCUCCCCAGAUGUGUCACGUGUGACAGUGAAUGACCCACCAGCCUGAGACUCCCACACCUACUUCCAUGUCCCCUGCACACUACGAGAAGAUGUGGACACAUCAGGAUCCAGCCAAGAACAAGCUUAUCAUGGCCACACAUUGCUGCAUUUCCAAGUCAGAGUUGUAGUGAAAGUGAAAAGGACAACUGAAACGGCUCAUUUGUUCCAGGUUCAGAAAAACGUAUGUUCUCAAAAAAAAAAAAAAACUUCAUGUACAGUAUUCCUCAUACCACUUAUUUUGAAUUAUAUGUUAAGUUUACUUCUUGAAAUAUUUAACAUAUCCCUAUAAUCAAGUAGAUAAGCCGUCGCAAUAAUCAAUAAUCUAAACAAAAAUGGGGCUAAAUUUUGGUGCUGAUUGGCCAUCUCCAAGGAGGAGUUCAUCACAGGCCACCAGACGCACCGAACUCACCUGUCCGUAGUUAAUGAGACGACGAACUUGCCGGCCAGUCGCCACCGCCGAGAUCGCUGGCCGUUCGCAUCGCUUGCCUGAAUUUUAGCUGAUGGUGACAAGAAUUAAAUCAACCACUCCCCUUGCUCACAAUCACAUCGAGCAGGCUUGAACUGCAAACCAAGUGCUUUUGAUUCUGCUUUACUGGUCAGCCGUGUCCAUGAGAAGAGAACAAUUUUUACAGACUUACAACUCUGAAUCAUGUUUCUUAAAGAACUUAAGUGUAUAUUUGUUUCCCAGAGACUUUUUUAGUCCCUGUCAUAUCAAAUAUUUGGACACUAAUUAUAAGUAUUAAAUAUAAGCUAUUAAUAAAACCCACACCGUACUCUAGACUAUUUCAUGAGACGAAUCUAUUGAGCCUAAUUAGUCCAUGAUUAGCGAAAGUAAUGCUACAGUAAAUAUUUGUUAAUCGUGACUUAAUUAGGCUUAAAAAAUUGUCUAAUGAAAUAGUCUUUAUUUAUGUAAUUAGUUUUGUUAUCGGUUUAUAUUCAAUACUCCUAAUUAACGUCUAAGUAUCCGAUGUGACAAGGGAAAAAAAGUCACGGGAUCCAAACAGCCCAUAAGAAUGUUUUCUGCAUACCACGUAUUGUAUUGAGUAUUAACACAUUGCGUCUGUCUAUAAACCUAAAGCCAUGCCUAGAACUUAACGAUAGAAUACAAUGUUUUGAAUAAAUUUUUAACUAAUAUAGCAUUUUUCUACGCAAUUUUUUGGCCAGACUUAAAACUAAGUCCAAAUCGUCUCAUGCCUGGUACCGCUCCUGGCUACAAAGAAAAUUGGGCCAGAAGGAUAUAGGGGACGAGCCGGCCCAUUCCGCCCCCUUUGCCGGCCGAGUGUCCUGGACAUCCAUGAUAUCAAGGUAUGCUCAGGCUGUAAAGCUAGCUGUUCCACGCAAUGCAAACCCAGAGAACGAGGUGACCAUGGUCAGCAUGCGCACGCUUAAGAGCACUGGAAGAAGGAAGAUGGUGUGCUCAACAAUGAGUGCAAUCUUGGUGCUGCGCUUAUUGACAUGUAUGUAUGCCAAGCGUUAUAUGCCUAUCAAAAAUUUUCCGCUCCCCUUGGACCAGAAAAAAAUGUUUCGGCACGGAAUGAAGAGAAUGGGCGAAAAACAAAUGAAGAGAAUGGGUGAAAAGCCGAAUGACUAACGUUUUGUUGGUGGGCGGAUGGAUGAAGGUCGACGGUGCUUCCAGAGCAUGAUAUCUACCUGCGGAGUGUCGCCGGAUGUGAGGCACUAUUGUUGCAUGGUUGACAUGUUAGACCGAGCAGGAUUUUUUGAAGAGGCAGAGGAGCUGAUCGGGAGCAUGCCAAUGGCUCUUUGAAUAUCCGAUAUUGGAUUACAGUCGAGCAAAUAUAGAAGUGGUGACUACUUCUUAGUGCUUAUGAGCUAUCGGGAAUGAGAUUAGAUCAUCACGGUAGUAAAAUAGUGCUAGUACUUUGGCUGAUCACACGCAGGUUUACUAUAUUAACACUAAUAGAAAGUACUUUCAAAAUAUCUUUUAAUAGAUAUAGACUGCAAAGAAACCAAGAGGUUAAAAAAUCAUUGGUUAGAAUCUUAAAGCUAGAGAGCAUUCUCAAUUUGAAUGAACUACAUAAAUCCUUAAGGUCCAAACAAAUACAGAGUAUGCAUAUAUGUAGCCUGUUCACUGGACGAAAACAGGACGGUACUAAUGUAAUAUCAUAGGAGCAACAAUUAACGUACGCAGUUCAAGAACCCAUUGCACAUACUUGGAUCCAUGCAUUACAGGCUAGGUAAAGUUAAUCGCACAAAAAUAAACCGACCAACAAGGCGAGGUUCAAAACACUCUGACCAGAUAAGCUAUCUCCAUGGAACUUUCGCUGCGAGGGAAUUGACGAGAAAGAAAAAACGGGCGCUUAGUCGACCUCCUCCAUCUUGCUCUCGCCGGCGUCGUCCUCGAGAGGAGGCAUGUCGGUGUCGGCCUCCGCCGUCUCGUCUUCAUCGAUGCUCAGGCCGAGCUUGAGCAUGCGGUGGAUCCUGCUGCCGAAGGUGUUGGGGUCGUCGAGGCUGAAGCCGGAGGUGAGGAGGGCCGUCUCGAAGAGGAGCAUGACGAGGUCCUUGACCGACUUAUCGUUCUUGUCGGCGUCGGCGCGCUUGCGUAGCUCCUCCAUGAUGGCGUUCUCCGGGUUGAUCUCCAUCGUCUUCUUGCUAGACAUGUACCCUGCCAUGCUCGAGUCCCUCAGCGCCUGGGCCUUCAUGAUCCUCUCCAUGUUGGCCGUCCAGCCGUACUCGCCGGUGACGAGGCAGCACGGAGAGUCCACCACACGGUCGGAGACCACCACCUUCUCGACCUUAUCGCCGAGCACCUCCUUAAUGACCUUGCAGAGCCCCUCGAACUUCUCCUUGAGCUCCUCCUUCCUCUUCUUCUCGUCUUCGCUCUCAUCAAGCUUCAGGCCCUCCUUGGUGGCGGAGACGAGCUUCUUGCCCUCAAACUCCUUCAGCUGGCCGACGGCAUACUCAUCAAUAGCAUCAACCAUGUACAGGACCUCGUAUCCCUUCUUCUUCAGCUUCUCCAGGAAGGGGGAGUUCUCCACGGCCUUCUUGCUCUCACCGGUGAUGUAGUAAAUGUCACUCUGUCCCUCCUUCAUCCUGGUCACGUAGUCCUUGAGGCUGGUCAACUCAUCACCGCUCUUAGUGGAGUGGUACCUCAGGAGCUCAGCAAUCUUGUUUCUGUUGGUGGAGUCCUCGUGGAUACCAAGCUUGAGGUUCUUGGAGAACGCUUCAUAAAACUUGUUGUAGUCCUCCUUGUUCUCAGCAAUCUCAAAGAAGAGCUCAACGCACUUCUUCACAAGGUUCUUACGAAUGACCUUGAGAAUCUUGUUCUGCUGAAGCAUCUCACGGGAGAUGUUGAGCGGAAGGUCCUCGGAGUCAACAAUGCCCUUCACAAAGCUCAGCCACUCAGGGAUCAGCUCCUCACAAUUGUCCAUGAUGAAGACACGGCGUACGUAGAGCUUGAUGUUGUUGAGCUUCUUCCUUGUAUCGAAGAGGUCAAAUGGUGCCCUCUUGGGAACAAAGAGAAUAGCUUUGAACUCCAGCUGACCCUCCACAGAGAAGUGCUUCACAGCAAGGUGCUCUUCCCAGUCGUUUGUCAGGGACUUGUAGAAAGCAGCAUACUCCUCCUUGGUGAUCUCCUCAGGCUUCCUCAUCCAGAUAGGCUUCUGCUUGUUCACCAAGGUCCACUCAUGAGAAACCUCCUUGAUCUUCUUCUUUUUCUUCUCCUUUUCUUCCUUCUCUUCGUCAACAUCCUCAACCUUGCCCUCCUCAGCAUCCUUCUUCUCUUCCUCAUCUUCAUCAUCAGAAAUUUCCUUUUCAGUGGUCUUCUCAGUCCACAGAGAGAUAGGGUAGCUGAUGAACUCAGAGUGCUUCUUGAUCAGGUCCUUGAGGCGGCGCUCUUCAAGGUACUCCAACUGCACGAAACAUUUGAGCAAAUGUCAAUAACAAAAUGAUCACAUUUGGGCCAGGACAUCAUGCACAUUUCAUAGUUCAAUUAAAGCUCGACUGAAAAAGUUCAGGUGAUCCUACAAGUUCAC
rnacentral:lncRNA from 1 species